rnacentral:rRNA from 1 species
CCUGACGAUAUCCCGCUGCAGCAUUGCGGUGGGAUCAAAGGUUCCGCAAGGAAUGCCGAAAGAUGGGCCUGCGUCCCAUUAGGUAGUUGGUAGGGUAACGGCCUACCAAGCCUACGAUGGGUAGCUGGUCUGAGAGGAUGGUCAGCCACACUGGAACUGAGACACGGUCCAGACUCCUACGGGGGGCAGCAGUGAGGAAUAUUGCGCAAUGCCCGAAAGGGUGACGCAGCGACGCCGCGUGGAGGAUGAAGGCCCUACGGGUCGUAAACUCCUUUUGUGGGGGAAGAAUGUCCCGCUACAGGCGGGAUUGACGGUACCCCGCGAAUAAGCACCGGCUAACUACGUGCCAGCAGCCGCGGUAAUACGUAGGGUGCGAGCGUUGUCCGGAUUCACUGGGUGUAAAGGGUCCGCAGGUGGGUUGGUAAGUCAGUGGUGAAAUCCCGUGGCUCAACCGCGGGACUGCCACUGAUACUGCCGAUCUUGAGUACGGGAGAGGAAGAUGGAAUUCCUGGUGUAGCGGUGAAAUGCGUAGAUAUCAGGAAGAACACCGGUGGCGAAGGCGGUCUUCUGGCCCGUUACUGACGCUCAUGGACGAAAGCGUGGGGAGCAAACAGGAUUAGAUACCCUGGUAGUCCACGCCUUAAACGAUGGAUGCUCGAUGUCGGUCCGAAAGGGUCGGUGUCUAAGCUAACGCAUUAAGCAUCCCACCUGGGGAGUACGAUCGCAAGGUUGAAACUCAAAGGAAUUGACGG